AAGAAGUCCCCUAAAGGGGAAGAAGGGGUUCCCCUUUAGUUUUCCUUUAGGGGAAGAAGAAGAACUAAAGGGGUUCCCCUUUAGGGGAAGACAACCCCCUUUGGGGAUGAAAACCCUUCGGCUUCAUCCCCUAAAGGGGAACCCCUUUAGGGGAAGACAACCCCCUUUGGGGAUGAAAACCCUUCGGCUUCAUCCCCUAAAGGGGAACUAAAGGGGUUCUUCCCCUUUAGGGGAACCCUUCUCCCCCCCCCCCUUAGGGGACUUCUUCCCCAAAGUCUCUUCUUCUUCCCCUAAAGGGGACGGAGACUAAGGGGAAGAAGACGUANGGGUUCCCCUUCGGGGAAGAAGUCCCCUAAAGGGGAAGAAGGGGUUCCCCUUCGGGGAUGAACUUUAGGGGAUGUUCCCCCUUCGGGGAUACCAAAGGGGACACCCCCCCUUUGGUCCCUUUUCGGGAUUGUCUCUACUUGUUCUUUAUUUUAUGGAAACCGAAGGGGAACCCUUUGGUUCCCCUAAAGGGGACAACCCUUUGGGAUCACUCCCCCUUCUUGUUCUUAUUCUUCAUCCCCUAAAGGGUUGUCCCCUUUAGGGUAUGAAGAACUAAAGGGGAUCAUCCCCUUGUUUUCCCCUUCUUGUUCUUCCCCUUUAGGGGAUAUCAUCGUCAUCCCCUAAAGGGGAACUAAAGGGUUGUCUUCUUUAGGGGACGAUCUUAUCCCCUAAAGGGAACCCCCUUCGGUUACCCUNNN
rnacentral:lncRNA from 1 species